GUGGUCCCUCUGGGGACUGGGAUGGUGGCUGACUUUUCCUCGUUUGGCUUAUUUGCUGUUUCUGCCCAAGGGAGAUGGCAGACGUCGAAAGAAGGCUCUGUGGCCGGGCAGACCCAGGGAACUUGCUCUCCUGGUGGAACCUGGCCUUCAUCCACUAUUUUGACACCAGACGUUUGGGUUUUUUAGUUUGAUUACUGGCCUCCUAAAGGCCAGUAUUAGAGCUUCCUUAUAUUUAUUCUCUAGGCAAGGGCCCUUAUGAAUCAUCUCUAAAUCCCUGACUUAGAGACGUAUGACAGAGAACAGAGAGGCUUGGUGUCUUGCCCAGAGCCACACAGUGAGCGCUGGGCAGGGGUCGUGCUUGGGGAAGCUGGGGUAGGAGGAGGCUGACGAUGGCAUUGGCAGAGAGAGAGUGGGCUGGGGGCAGAGGUGAAGGGGACACAUGAGUGAAACCCAGGUUGCAUAGUUCUGGGCAUCCGGUCAGCAUGUGUCGUUUUCCCCCAGAGAAGAAAUGUCUCAAGUAGGACCCGUCUCCAGGGACCUCUUUCUGGAUGCCUUCCUGCACGAGCGCAGCCCGGAAGCCCUGGAGGUUCCUGGCAUGACCGAGCUCAGAGAGUCCUCCCCCGACAGUCCCAGGAUGGACCUUGGGUGCUGGCCGUCAAAAUGGCUCAAGCUUGUGGCCGUAGGACAGGGUGCCUCCUGGCCCUCGUGUCCAUGAUCACCUACCUCCUCAAGGCCUCUCAAGAUGGAUCCAGUUUUAGAAAACCGGAAGUAGCCUGAGCAGCUGCUUCAGAUGCGGUUCCUGGCCCUGGCUGGCAGGGCAGUGAAGAGGGGGUCUUCCCAGCAUCCACUCCAGGUGACAACCGUGACUCUGUGGCCAUGCGGCUGGCCUUCAUCGGGGACGAGAUGGAAGUGAGAUGGAUGCUGCCCCACAUCGCUGAGCUGCCUGGGGUGGCCGUGUACAGCUUGGCCUUCACCUACAACCAGACAGGCCUGAGGGGUGUUUUUAGAAGUUUCAUGGAUGGUCUCACUAACCUCAGGGAGAACAUAAGGUUCUGGAGCUUCCUGACCCGCAGGGACAGGGUAAGCCUGAGAUUUCAUGACCUUGACUCACCUUCCUGCAUGUGUAGCCCUCUGGAGCCGUGGAGCAGCUGCUCCGUAGGGCACAGCCUCGCUGGUUGCUGCAGUCCCCACCAAUCCCUAUUGUCUUCUUUUGCCUGCUUCACCCAUUCCUCCUCCUGCCUGUUCCCUGGGCCUUUGGGUUUGAGAUGGCUGGCUUACUGAGAGAGGAUGCACGAGUCCUUGUGUGCGCUAGCUUCCGCAGCUGUGCCCGUGCUCCCGCCUGUACCAGGACUGCCUCCACCUGGCAGACAUGACUGGUUAUCUGCCCAGGGCAGAGGCCUCUUCUCCUGAGCUGCUUCCCUGACCACUGCUGAUCCUCCCCCCCAGCACCGCGGAUGGUCCCUCACACCUCUCCAUCGUAUUGUGCCAGUUCCCGGCAGACGAGCAGCCCGGGUGGGCUGGCCUCCUCUCCUCUGUGUGUCCCCAGGGCCACUCUCCUCUCCUCCCCGUCCUGUGCUCAUCUUUCAGGGCACCUUGUUCUAGACCCCUCCAGUUCUGAGUGAGGCGCUUCUGCGUUCCCUUCCUUUACCAGACUCGCUCUUGGCCGGCCCACUGUCACCCACAUGUGCUCAUCCCAUGUCCACAGAGCGCGCACAGGACGGCGAGCUGUGGAAUGAGCAAGCCUCUUCCAGGCUGGGGGUCCUCACUUCUCUCCCCUUCAUCCCACAGGUGUCCCCCAGUCGGGGGCGCGAGCUGGCUCUGUCCGUGCUGCUGCUGCUGGUGCUGCUGCUGGGCUGGGGGCUCCACCUCCUCCAGUGACUGCCGCUGCGGGGCAGUGCGGGGGCGGGGCUGGUCCCCUCCCCCUGACCGCCACCCUGGAGGUGGCCUUGUUUGUUUAGUUGUCUUUUUAACUGUUUUCUGAUGAUCCCUUUUUUAUAUUUAAACUCCGAGUGCUGGGACACUUACUGAGGUUUCAUACUAGUUUUUUCUUGUUUUUUGUAAGAGAAAUGAAUUCAUUAUACCUCUGGGGUCGUUACUGGUUAACUGCCCAUGCCAAGGCUGGGCUGGGCCUGCUCCCCGGGCCCCAGCCCACUCCGCAGCGGCCUGUCCGGGAAGGAGCCUUCCUCUCGUGGUGGGUCAUGUGGGGGGCGGGGGGAGUGCUGGUCAUGCCCCCGUGUCUGUGAUGCCCGUGGCAAAGAGAAAAUCUGCUGGAAUAGAUUUCUGAGGGGUGGGGAGAGCUCAAUAAAAUGUUGGUUUCCA